rnacentral:rRNA from 1 species
GUGGGCCCUCGAAAUCCUGUGGCGGGAGGAUUCAGUCGGGGGCGGCGGACGACGACAUGGAAACCGAGGUAGGGCUUCCCCGAAGCUGGGGCCGUUCGGUCGUUCGUCACUGCUGCCUCCUACGCAUUUGUCUCCCGUCCGAAGGACGCCGCAGCCGGUUGGGUAUGUGCAAGCACGGCGGCCUGAGGGGUGGACGACGGCAGGUGGCCGGUGGCCGGGAUUCUAUUUCCCAGUCGCCGGUUGUUAGCCGGUCCGCCGGUGGCCCGUCACCCGACCGAGGUGUCACGAGGCCCUUAGCGGGCCAGAAACGUGUCCUCCUCCCUGGAUGCGGGUCAGAGCGUCGCAGACGACUUCCGAGGCCUGUCGCACGCCAACAGGCGUGGACUGGAGAGCGGAAGGCGCCGAUGGUGAUGACGGACCCGUGGGAAGAAUGGAGGCUGGCGGCGAGUAGGUCGGUCACCCACCCGACCCGUCUUGAAACACGGACCAAGGAGUCUAACAUGUGCGCGAGUCAAUGGGACUUGAACAGGCCCAGGGGCGCAAUGAAAGCAAAGGAUGGCCUUAGCGUCGUCCGAGUUGGGAUCCGUCCUCUCCAAUGGGGGCGGCGCACCAACGACCCGUCCUAUCCGGCUCGUCCGGUUGGGCGGAGUGUGAGCGCACACGUUGGGACCCGAAAGAUGGUGAACUAUGCCCGGGCAGGACGAGGCCAGAGGAAACUCUGGUGGAGGUCCGCAGCGGUCUGAC